AAUUUCUACUUCUUUGCUGGGUAUUACCCCACAGAAUUCCAAUCAUGUCUCUUCUACGUACGAGGAGAUUGUUAUUGAUGUUGCCCAAAAUUUGAUGAGUCAAUUUAACUCUCAUAAAUGGCUUCAUGCUGCCAUUUUCCUGUAUUAGCAUGUUCUCGUGGUGUGAAAUUUGAUGUGAAGGCUGAGAUUGCAAGUAGUGAUGAAUUCUAA
rnacentral:misc_RNA from 1 species